rnacentral:lncRNA from 1 species
UUUUUCUUUUCAGUAUUUUUUUUUCUUUUUACUGUUUUUCUUUUGCAUUUUUAAAAAUUUUACUAUUUUUCUUUUGCAUUUUUUUUAUAUUUUGCCUUUUUUUAUCCUUUAUGGUAUUUUUUUUUGUUUUUCGAUUGUUUUUCUUUUACAUAUUUUUUUAUAUAUUUUUGUGAAAAAUAUAAUGCUUUUAAAAUAUUACAUUCUUCAUAACAAUAAUUACUUUUUUUUAUGACAAUAAUACUUGAGCAAAUAACUAAAAGUAUAAGUUCUUGUGAGUAAAAAUAACAAUUAUUGUGAACAAAUGUUUCAAAAUUAUUACAUUUGUUUAUGAU